rnacentral:tRNA from 1 species
GCAGAUGGCUCAAAGGUAAAAGUACUUGCUAUACAAGCAUGAGGGCCUGAGUUCAACUCUCUGGCACCUGCA